AUUCCAUUGGAGGAAAUCCAAUUUGCAGAGCUUUGGGGAUACCUGCCUUUUGUAUAGUCACUGUCACUUCUAUAAAACCCUUGUAAAAUCACAGUGCUCCCCUUUCCAUAGUGGGAUUCAUCCCCCAAACCCUAGCAGUGUAUUAAACAAUUAUUGGGCACAACUCCCUGUUGAACUGGUAAACUGGAUAACCUUCCCCCCACAUCAUGGGCCCUGGUUCGAGAGUAUUCACACAGAAAAACCUUUGUUCUCAUAGUCAAAUCCACAUAACUUAGAAGCUAACUCCCUACAAUUAUCUCUUAUGGCAGGACAUCUUGCAAGGAGAGGAGCCUUGCCAAUAGACCACAUUCAGAACUUCAAAAGAUAGGCACUGAGUAGGAGACAUGGCCCUCCUGACAAGCAGGACUAGGCAGCCUUGAUUUCUCUACAGCCAGUUCAGGAGACUGCAACCUACUUGGCCCUGCUCUACACUAACAAGAGAUACAAGAAAAAGCACUGGAUCACUUAACCAGCCACAGAAACAGGAAUUCCAUCUCACCAGGGCAUCUGCAGUAUGAGUGCACUGAUGCUUAGCCCAGGCAGAGUCCUCCUAUUUCACAUAGCCUUUCCCAGACCCCAGGGAAGGAAGCAGAAGAAGGUGCUCAGAGAGUGCACAGAACUGCCAUGUUUUCUUCACUUUUUCUACAUUUACCAAUUACAAACUUCUAGCUUAACUAGCCACAUAAAUGUAGUUUUAUGCACUAACACUCCUUCACCCCUCUUAAACAUCAUAGCCCUUGCUCCAUUAACACUUCCUGACUCUUAGUUUUGCCCAGGUACCUGUUUAAAAAAACAAAACAAAACAAAAAAACAAAAAACACUACCUCUGACACAUAAGGCACCCACUUUGUCAGAUCUUAUCUGUUUUUAGGUCCUGAGAAAUGCAUGUCUUGUAUCUUGGAUAUUGCCAGAGAAUUGCUAAUUGUGUCUGUAUGAGUAUAUAAACUGGACACUUGUGGGAUCAGAAAGAACUUUUUAAAGAAUAAACAUAUAUGAGUAGCAUAUGUCUAAGAGCUGAUUCAUUCAUGCUCAGAUCCUUUUAACCAGACCCCAUGCUUGCUGUUUAGCACCAUGCCUGAACCUUGAAGGGAAACAGAGGCUGGCACUCAGAGAUCUGAAUACUCCUCAAAAACAAGUUUCAAGGACUCUGACUCCCUCUUCUGACCUCCACAGCACCAGGCAUGCAGCAGUGCACAGACACAUAUCCAAAACAAGCAUUCGUAAACAUAAAAGAAAAAUAAAUAUUUUUAAAAUGAUUAAUACAUCUACUUCUACACACCAUUGGAGUCUUAGAGCAAAGAUGCUCUGCCCCCUUGGCCUCCCACUUCAGUUCCAUCCCCCCCACAUAUAAUUGGCUUUCUGAUUUCAAGCCAGAUCUAGUUACAGCUGGCAGGUUCCAAAUGGCAGCUCUCUAAGGCAUCCACUAUUUUUCUUGAUACUAUGUUUUGAGAAAUGUGAAACUACAAAAUCAAUCCAUGGAAGAUGGGACUGCCAAGUUUGAAGAGGGCAGAAGCAAUUCUUGGCCUCACAUCAGUAAGUGAGGAAGCAUUCCACAGAGGGUGACAGAGGUGGAGGAGAUCCAUAGUUACAAAAAACAACAACAACAACAAAAA
ensembl:lncRNA